rnacentral:lncRNA from 1 species
GAUUCAUCCAGGGUCAUUGCCAGCUCCACCGCUCUUUUCUGACUGGAAGGAUCUAAAUAGUACAUCAUUUUGGCAGCUGAUAACCUAUGCGGUAGCGAGUCAUAGUUCUUUUUAAGGAAAGCUUCAUUGAAGUUCUUUGGAUUAGUUGCUCCAAAAAGCCGAUUCAUUUCUUGGUUUAACACUGUUCUAACUGCAUCAGGCAGAUCCUUACUUUCAGAUACACUGCUGAAGAGAUGAAUCAUACACUCGUGAAGCCAAGGAUGACUGGAAUCAAUAGCAAAAGCUCUCUUCACAGACUGAAGCAUCAGAAGGAACUUCUCUUUUCGAAAAUAAAUCUCGAAGGCAAAGAGAUGCGUCUCUAUUUUGUUCUUCACUAAAUUCUUCAGGGGGGUUAAAAAUUUAAUGGCUUCUUCCAAAGGUGCUUCAACCUUGGCCAAUUUUUCAGGAAUAAGUUCUUCUUUCGGGCCUCCAAUUUCUUCAUCAUCAUCAUCUUUCUUCUUUUUCUGAUUCCUCUGUUGCUUCUCUUUCUCAGCAUUCUUCUUCUCCUCUUCCAGCUGUGCUUUCUUCUGUGCUCUUCUCUGCUUAUUUCGUAGCUUCUUUAGCUCCUUAUCAGACAUAUUUGCUGUAUCAGCCUCGUGUUCUUUAUUUUCAUCUGUUAAGGGAUUAUCAUGAAGCUUCAAAUAUAUCUCUAUGGCAAUCCGCGCUGCUUUGAAGUAGAAUGGAUGUUGCCGAAGUACAUCUUCUAGUUUUAACAAGUCCACAUAAGACCUAAGAGUAAUCUUCCUCAUGCAGUAAGUGUGGAAGUCAAACUGGUCAUCUGUGAUUUCUACAAAAUGUCUCUCAAUUUCAUGGCAUUUCUUAAGUGCUUCUCCAAAUUUAUUCAUUGCUUUGUAAGCCUGAGCACAUUCCGUCUGAAACCACAUGCACUGCAUUUCAUUCAAGUUCUCUACUGCCGAGGUUCCUUCCCUCGUAAAUUUAGAACACAUUUCUUCUGCUUCUUUAAUAAAGUUUGCUUUCAACAUGUAUUUUGCACAUUUGGAGUUGAUAAAUCUGUCUGCUGUGUCCAAAGCCUGAGCCUCAUCCAUCCACCUUGCAGCUUCUUU